AACGCACCUUGCACUCCGUAGUUUACUACGGAGUACGCCCGUUCGAGUGUCACGUUAACCCUCACCAAUGGAAUAUUCCUGAGGUGGACCUGGGCGUUGCCGUAGUUGGCUCGCCUUAAAUGCAUUAGCGAGGGUGGAAGCACCUACGGCGUGAUAAUGUCAUCGUCCUGAAAGUGUGGAAGCUCUGCUUCGAAUCGUCCGGCGUCCGGACAGCAUCUUAAGCUUUGACCUCGAAUCGGGUGGGACUACCCGCUGAACUUAA
rnacentral:misc_RNA from 1 species